rnacentral:rRNA from 1 species
GACGAACGCUGGCGGCGUGCCUAAUACAUGCAAGUCGAACGCAAAGGCCCUACCUUUGCUGGCUACUCGAUAGGCGGACAGGUGCGAAACACUGGGUUAACCUUCCCUUACCUGUCGGGUAACGGCGGGUAACUGGGGCUAACGCCGGAUAAGACCGCAUGCUGUUGGGUGUGGGUUGGUAAGUGACGGAGGGUGGGGAUGGAAUCGCGGCUUGAUAGCCCGUUGGUGGGGUAGUGGCUUACCAAGGUUUUGACGGGUAGCCGGCCUGAGAGGGUGACCGGCCACAUUGGGACUGGGAUACGGCCCAGACUCCUACGGGAGGCAGCAGUGGGGAAUAUUGCACACUGGGCGGAAGCCUGAUGCAGCAACGCCGCGUGCGGGAUGACGGCCUUCGGGUUGUAAACCGCUUUCGCCUGUGACGAAGCGUGAGUGACGGUAAUGGGUAAAGAAGCACCGGCUAACUACGUG